UACGGGGGGGGCAAGCGUUGUUCGGAAUUACUGGGCGUAAAGGGCUCGUAGGCGGCCAACUAAGUCAGACGUGAAAUCCCUCGGCUUAACCGGGGAACUGCGUCUGAUACUGGAUGGCUUGAGUUUGGGAGAGGGAUGCGGAAUUCCAGGUGUAGCGGUGAAAUGCGUAGAUAUCUGGAGGAAUACCGGUGGCGAAGGCGGCAUCCUGGACCGGCAUUGACGCUGAGGAGCGGAAAGCAUGGGGAGCGAACAGG
rnacentral:rRNA from 1 species